rnacentral:rRNA from 1 species
UCCUAAGGUAGCGAAAUUCCUUGUCGGGUAAGUUCCGACCUGCACGAAUGGCAUAAUGAUGGCCACACUGUCUCCUCCCGAGACUCAGUGAAGUUGAAAUGUUUGUGAUGAUGCAAUCUCCCCGCGGCUAGACGGAAAGACCCCAUGAACCUUUACUGUAGCUUUGCAUUGGACUUUGAACCGAUUUGUGUAGGAUAGGCGGGAGGCAGAGAAAGCGCAACGCCAGUUGUGCCGGAGCCGACGUUGAAAUACCGCCCUGAUUUGUUUGAGGUUCUAACCGCGACCCGUGAGCCGGGUCCGGGACCGUGCAUGGCAGGCAGUUUGACUGGGGCGGUCUCCUCCUAAAGGGUAACGGAGGAGUACAAAGGUACGCUAGGUACGGUCGGAAAUCGUGCUGAUAGUGCAAAGGCAAAAGCGUGCUUGACUGCGAGACCGACAAGUCGAGCAGAUGCGAAAGCAGGUCUUAGUGAUCCGGUGGCUCUGUAUGGAAGGGCCAUCGCUCAACGGAUAAAAGGUACUCUGGGGAUAACAGGCUGAUACCGCCCAAGAGUUCAUAUCGACGGCGGUGUUUGGCACCUCGAUGUCGGCUCAUCUCAUCCUGGGGCUGUAGCCGGUCCCAAGGGUAUGGCUGUUCGCCAUUUAAAGAGGUACGUGAGCUGGGUUUAAAACGUCGUGAGACAGUUUGGUCCCUAUCUGCCGUGGGCGCUGGAAGAUUGACGGGGGCUGCUCCUAGUACGAGAGGACCGGAGUGGACGCACCUCUGGUGUACCGGUUGUCACGCCAGUGGCAUCGCCGGGUAGCUAUGUGCGGAAGAGAUAACCGCUGAAAGCAUCUAAGCGGGAAACUUGCCUGAAGAUAAGUCUUCCCGGAGGCUAGACCUCCCUGAAGAGUCGUUCGAGACCAGGACGUUGAUAGGUCGGGUGUGUAAGCGUUGUGAGACGUUUAGCUAACCGAUACUAAUUGCUCGUGAGGCUUGAUCCU